rnacentral:rRNA from 1 species
CCUACGGGCGGCUGCAGUGGGGAAUAUUGGGCAAUGGGCGCAACUCUGACCCAGCAACGCCGCGUGAAUGAUGAAGGACUUCGGGUUGUAAACUUCUUUUGUCAGGGACGAAGCAAGUGACGGUACCUGACGAAUAAGCCACGGCUAACUACGUGCCAGCAGCCGCGGUAAUACGUAGGUGGCAAGCGUUAUCCGGAUUUAUUGGGGGUAAAGGGUGUGUAGGCGGGAAUGCAAGUCGGAUGUGAAAACUAUGGGCUUAACCCAUAGCCUGCAUUUGAAACUGUAUGUCUUGAGUGCAGGAGAGGCAAAUGGAAUGCCGUGUGUAGCGGUGAAAUGCGUAGAUAUACGGAGGAACACCAGUGGCGAAGGCGGAUUGCUGGACAGUAACUGACGCUGAGGCGCGAAAGCGUGGGGAGCAAACAGGAUUAGAUACCCCAGUAGUC